GGUUCAGGUUCCAGUUACCUGUAUGGACUGCUUGACCAUGAAUGGAAGGAGGGCAUGUCCCAAGAAGAGCUGAGAAGUUUGUAGUGAAGGUAGUUUCCUUGCUAUAGCCCGUGAUGGUGCUAGUGGAGGGGUUGUUCAUAUAGUCACCAUAAAUGCUGAUGGUGUUUCGAGGAAAUUUUAUCUUGGAGACAAGCUACCACUGUGACAUGAAGAGCUGGAGCCCUAGAAUUCGUUGCUGGUCAUGAAGAAGAGUACACCAAGUAGGGUUCCAGUUGAAGUGACCAACCCAUCUAGCCCAGCUUUUUAUGUGUGGACUUAGUGUGGUGAACUACUAAUUUAAAUGUUGAUGAUCUUUUUAUCUGCGAACUUAUUGUGCUGAUGAACUACUUUAAAUGUUGCUCAUAUGAACUUGUUGCUAUGGAUGCAAUGGUCAUGCCCU